CUCCGUACUUCAUUGCUAGCUUGGCUGUGUUGCCAUGGGAAACAAAUGUUGCUCUCUCUUGAAAUGAUGUGUAGGUGAUAGCCAGAUAGGGAUUUGUUCCCACUCCAACAUCCUAAUGUAUCAGAAUGUACAGAAAUUAGAUAGAGGUAUUUAUUGAGAAGAUCUCCGUGCCUAUUUUCUUCAGCACUCCAUGCCCUAGUCCAGAUUGCCCAAGGGCCUCUUCUGUGAUCAUAUCGCCUACCAAGACCACGAAAUAGUCAUCGGGAAUUUGGCUUGCUCUCUCCCUCAACUCGCUGAUUUGCUCCAUGAAUCCAUCUGAGGCAGCAUCCGGCAGGAAAUCCUGUGGUUGCCAUGAUUUCUGGGGUGGUUUUAAUAGGGAUAAAAUGUUGUCUCUAGCCCAACCCUCCAUGGAUUUGAAGAUCUCAACCUUCUCAGGCGGCAUUGCAGGGCUCUUUGGACCAACCUCAGUGGAGUAAAUUCCCGGACUCGUGCACCACACUCUGAGAAGUUCCCUACACGGAAUCAAGGUAAGUCAUUGGUAUUUUACUUGGGGGUGUGGCCCCAAAGUGUUUACAAAAUCCGUAUUGAAACUUAAAGAGUAUAAUCAUAUAAGGCAAAUGUCCUUACAUUCCGCAUGCAUGACAUAUACUUUCCUUGCAAACAAAGUACACAAUCCACACUGACCAAUCAUAUUUUUCUCUCUUUGGUUUUCUUAGUUUGAUGGGUUUGCCCUCCAUACAGCUAGAAACUGAUCAAUCAAUCCAAUGUUUUGUUAUUGAAUUUUUUUGUGGAGAGGAGAAUGAAAUUGUGCACCUUGUGCAACCUAUAAAGGUCCCAACUCUUGUGUCCUUUUUCUAGUGAAGGGUAUGUGUGAAUUUUAUGCCAAAUUGAAUUGAUUAAACAAAUCCA